CCUACGGGAGGCAGCAGUGAGGAAUAUUGGUCAAUGGGCGCGAGCCUGAACCAGCCAAGUAGCGUGAAGGAUGACUGCCCUACGGGUUGUAAACUUCUGUUAUAAAGGAAUAAAGUGAGGCACGUGGGCCUUUUUGUAUGUACUUUAUGAAUAAGGAUCGGCUAACUCCGUGCCAGCAGCCGCGGUAAUACGGAGGAUCCGAGCGUUAUCCGGAGUUAUUGGGUUUAAAGGGAGCGUAGAUGGGUUGUUAAGUCAGUUGUGAAAGUUUGCGGCUCAACCGUAAAAUUGCAAUUGAUACUGGCAGUCUUGCGUACAGUUGCGGUCGGCGGAAUUCGUGUUGUAGCGGUGAUAUGCUUCGAUAUCACG
rnacentral:rRNA from 1 species